rnacentral:rRNA from 1 species
AAGCUACCCCGGGGAUAACAGGCUUAUCUCCCCCAAGAGUUCACAUCGACGGGGAGGUUUGGCACCUCGAUGUCGGCUCAUCGCAUCCUGGGGCUGUAGUCGGUCCCAAGGGUUGGGCUGUUCGCCCAUUAAAGCGGUACGCGAGCUGGGUUCAGAACGUCGUGAGACAGUUCGGUCCCUAUCCGUCGUGGGCGUAGGAAAUUUGAGAGGAGCUGUCCUUAGUACGAGAGGACCGGGAUGGACAUACCUCUGGUGUACCAGUUGUCGUGCCAACGGCAUAGCUGGGUAGCUAUGUGUGGACGGGAUAAGUGCUGAAAGCAUCUAAGCAUGAAGCCCCCCUCAAGAUGAGAUUUCCCAACUUCGGUUAUAAGAUCCCUCAAAGAUGAUGAGGUUAAUAGGUUCGAGGUGGAAGCAUGGUGACAUGUGGAGCUGACGAAUACUAAUCGAUCGAAGACUUAAUCAAAA